CCUGUAAGGCAUGUUGAACUGAAUAUGCCCAAUCUCACCUGAUCAUGGAUGCUAAACAGGCUGAGAUGUGACUGUAUUGGAUGGAAGACCUCCUGGGUGUUGAAAGCACAAGACAAACAGUU
rnacentral:rRNA from 1 species